rnacentral:pre_miRNA from 1 species
AGUGGGAUAACUGGGUCAUAUGGUGGCUCCAUUUCUCGUUUUCUGAGGAGUCUCCAUACUACUUUCCAGAGUGGUUAUACUAAUUUGCAGUCCCAUCAGCAAU